CUUUCGCUAUAAAAUCACUUUUAUUCGUCUGUUAAAUUUUUUAGGUUUGACCCUAAUACCUUUUCUGACGGUCUGAAAUCGAGAGCUGACUUAUUUUCAAGUGUACCCUAGUUGGUGUUUUUGCUUGGCUAGUGUAAAAAUAGUGUUUUUGUUGUUUUCUGUGCGCUGCCUCAUUGCAUUUUCGUUUUUGGGGGCAUUCGCUUGAUUAUGUAUAUUUACCCUAACACAUGGAGCAAGGAUGGAGAGGGGGUCGCGGGUAGUUGGCCUGUAAUUGCUAUUUACACUAGCACACUCACACACACACACACACACACACAGAUACUCACUCUCACAUCGAGCGAAGAUCCUGGCGCAGACACAUACACACGAGCACAUGCACAAUUAUGUUUGUGUGCCUGAUUUGAUGGCGAUAGCAGGCCAGGCCAGAAACCAAAUCAAAGCCAACAGCAAACAAAUAAAUACAAACACAAAGGAAGACACACACACACACACACAGAUAGUCACCAACACAAAGGAGGCGAGAGAGAGCUGGCCGUGUGCAUGACAAAUGAGGCCAGGCGCAGGACCCGAAAACCCAAAACCCAAAACCCAGAACCAACAAUCCAAAGCCCAAAUCCGUAGCUGAAACUCGGAUCACAAUGGAAGGAUAUGUCGAGACGACAAUAAAGGAAGUCACUUUUGUUUUCAGCCCGCAUUAUUCGCCAUUAUGCAGUGUGCUACAGUGUGGAUUUUUACCAGGCUUAAAUCAAAAAAAGAUAGCGACAAAUAUGCGACACUUUCGUCCAUGUACAUUCUCCCUGAAUAUCCUGCCAUCUGAUUUUUCGUACUGGGAUGUUGUUUCCUUUUUCCUGCUCGUAAAUUAGGUCAAGCGUAAAAUGACAAUAGCUAAAAUGAAAUCUAUCAAAAGCGGACCACCUAUUGGCUACCGAAAGUGCGGAAAAAUUCAGUAGCAGUAACUGAAGUAUUAGGCCCUCUCUGUUCCUAUACGUUUCAAAGAACAAAAUAAAUUUGGGAAUUAAAUUUAUCAAUCUUACAAGGCGAAA